rnacentral:rRNA from 1 species
UACGUAGGGUGCGAGCGUUAAUCGGAAUACUGGGCGUAAAGCGUGCGCAGGCGGUUAUGUAAGACAGUUGUGAAAUCCCCGGGCUCAACCUGGGAAUUGCAUCUGUGACUGCAUAGCUAGAGUACGGUAGAGGGGGGGAUGGAAUUCCGCGUGUAGCAGUGAAAUGCGUAGAUAUGCGGAGGAACACCGAUGGCGAAGGCAAUCCCCUGGACCUGUACUGACGCUCAUGCACGAAAGCGUGGGGAGCAAACAGG